rnacentral:rRNA from 1 species
GAUGAACGCUGGCGGCGUGCCUAAUACAUGCAAGUCGAGCGAACAGACGAGGAGCUUGCUCCUCUGACGUUAGCGGCGGACGGGUGAGUAACACGUGGAUAACCUACCUAUAAGACUGGGAUAACUUCGGGAAACCGGAGCUAAUACCGGAUAAUAUAUUGAACCGCAUGGUUCAAUAGUGAAAGACGGUUUUGCUGUCACUUAUAGAUGGAUCCGCGCCGCAUUAGCUAGUUGGUAAGGUAACGGCUUACCAAGGCAACGAUGCGUAGCCGACCUGAGAGGGUGAUCGGCCACACGGGAAUUGAGACACGGUCCAGACUCCUAGGGGAGGCAGCAGUAGGGAAUCUUCCGCAAUGGGCGAAAGCUUGACGGAGCAACGCCGCGUGAGUGAUGAAGGUCUUCGGAUCGUAAAACUCUGUUAUUAGGGAAGAACAAAUGUGUAAGUAACUAUGCACGUCUUGACGGUACCUAAUCAGAAAGCCACGGCUAACUACGUG